GACAGAGGGUGCAAACGUUUGUCCGGAAUUAUUGGGCGUAAAGAGCGCGCAGGCGGUCUGACAAGUCAGAUGUGAAAGAAGCCGGCUUAACCGGCAAGGGUCAUUUGAAACUGACAGACUAGAGUGCACAAGAGGAUAGUGGAAUUCCCGGUGUAGUGGUGAAAUGCGUAGAUAUCAGGAGGAACACCGGUGGCGAAGGCGGGUCUCUGGGGCCG
rnacentral:rRNA from 1 species